GGGGCUGGGGAUGUAGCUCAGUGUGACAGUCCUGGGUUCAGUCCCCAAUACUGCAAACAAGGCGAAACAGAAACAAACCAAACCCAAAACAAAAACCAACAAACAAAAACCUGAGGCUCGUCUUACAGAAGAAUUAGGAGUUACUGAGUUAAACUCAUGACUGCCAUCCCCAUUGAGAAUCUUUAAAGUUGAAACUGUAUUAGAUUUGUGGUUUAAUUUAGAGAGAUUUGAGGUCUUUACCAUCUUCAGUCUUUCUACCAAACAGCUUGAUUUGCCUUUAAAACGAAUUUAUCUUUCACAUUGCUCAGUGUGAUUUUUAACCUGUUAGCUCUCUUUUCUGUUUUUGAGACAAGGUCUUGCUAAGAUACCCAGGGUGGGCUCAAACUUGGGAUCCUCCUGCCUCAGCCUCUCAAGUGCUGGGAUGACAGGUGUGCACCACCACGCCUGGCUCAAAACCUAAUUUUUCUUAAUGAAGAACUUGAUUCUUGAAGUAUGCUUUGGUGGCUGGCCGAGCGAUGUUCUACCCAGCCUUCCCAGCCCACUCCCCUCGGCCUGAUCCCACCCUCGCCCCACAGGUGUCUGACAGCUCUGUAGCCGUUGUGCCAGCCCAGUACAUCUGUGCCCCCGAUAGCAAGUACACGUUCCUCGCAGCACCCGCCCAGCUGCUGCUGGAGAAAUUCCUCCAGCACCACAGCCACCGAUUCUUCCCGCUGUCCCUGAAGAACCACAGGCACCCCGUGCUGUCCGUGGACUGCUAUCUUAACCUGGGGCCUCAGAUUUCUGUCUGUUACGUGAGCUCCAGGCCGCACUCUCUGAACAUCAGCUGCUCCGACCUGAGGUUCAGCGGCCUCCUGCUGUACCUGUGUGAUUCCUUUGUGGGGGCUGGCUUCCUGAAACAGUUCCACUUCCUCACAGGUAAUCGUGUGCUGUCACCGGUCCUCUCUGAAGACAGGACCUCACCCCCUCGGCCUCACUUACCGCUGGGUAAACUGAGGCUCAGAGAGAGGAAGUGAUUGGAACCAUUAGGGAAAGAAGCUGACAUCUGGGGUGGAUCUGGGGCCUUUCUCCCCUCUCCCUGUCCAGCGGAGGCACCUGCGUGCCCUCUCCUUUGGGGGAGUGGCAGGUAUUUCUACCUUGUUUUCCUUUCCCCUCCAAACCCUUUGCAUCAAAGCCCAGGUCUCCUUAAAGGCUCCUUCCUGGUACGAGGUCCUGCAGUCUCCUUUCUCUUUUCUCCAGUUUUUCUCCUUUUCCUGAUACAGUAGUUGAAACUGACAAAGCUUGUUCUAUGUCCCCUUAGAAAAUGAUUGCCAAGGGCUGGGGAUUUAGCUCAGUGGUUCUGCCGCCUGCCUAGCAAGCACAAGGAGCAGAGUUCAAUGCCCGGUACCAAAAAUAAAAAUAAAAAAAGAGAAGAAAAUGACUUCCAAUCUGUACUUCCAUGGUGCUCAGCUCCUUGGUGACCUUCCCGUCCUUGGUUGUCAAUCUGUAUUUCCAUCGUGCUCAGCUCCUUGGGGACUUUCCCCUGUCCUUGGUCGUCCUUCAUCCUGACCUUCCUCUCAUAUUUUGAGUAUUUUAGGAGGUAGGCGUGGUGGUGCACGUCUAUCAUCCCAGCACUCGGGAGCCUGAGGCAGGAGGAUCGAAGAGUUCAAGGCCAGCCUGGGUUAUAUAGUGGGACCCUGUCUCAAAAAAAAUCAAAAACAACAACAGCAACCAAAGGGUAUUUUAGGACCAGCUGAGCUGGGAGGAGCAGAGAGAGGAUUCAACUGUGACGUGCAGGGCGUGGGAUCUGCGGAGUCAGGGCUGGAGCUGAGGACUCUUUGCUUUGCCGGCUCCUCUUUCUUUGGUCUCCUUCGUUCUGUUUUCCUCCUCUUUCUCGGUGUCCGUAUUGACCUCCCGUGGAGCAGGACACCCUGGCUGGGUCCCCCGGCCUCUGGCGCCCCCUGACCUCAAGCCUCCGCCCUCGCAGGCGCCACGCUGUGCGUGAUCUGCCGGGACCGGAACUCGCUGCGCCAGACCGUGGUGCGCCUGGAGCUGGAGGACCAGUGGCAGUUCCGGCUGCGCGACGAGUUCCAGACGGCCAACGCGCGCGAGGACCGGCCGCUCUUCCUGCUCACGGGCCGGCACAUCUGAGCCACAGGAGGGACCGUUUCCGAGAGGGUUCUGGGCUGCCCCAGGUUUGCCCUUUCAGAGCUCGCCGACAGCCGAGCCAGGCAGCGGAGUCACCGCAGAGCAAAAGGAGGCCACCGGGGGCGCGGGGUGAAAACCCUGCUCCCAGAAAGGGCCACGGUGAAAGCUCUCUCUAAGACGCUAAGGAGGAAAAUAGGGGUGCAGAGGUUGACCUGGACUUCGACUUACAAAGAAAAAAAGAGCCAAAUUUCUUACUCGAGAAAAGAAAAACAAUAAAAGCAACCAGAGUGGCGUGAAGCGUGAAGAACCAGACCGACGACUAAUUUAUAGACGCUCGGUGUUCAGUCCCUUCCGAGCCUGUUCUACCAUGCGAAGUUCCUGGGGGAAGAGUCCCCGCGGACGCAGACCCCGGGCGCAGGGGAGCACAGCGGCCGGCCCGACUUCCCUUCCCCAGCCAGGCUGAACCCGCGCGCCAGCGCGCCACCUACCGGCCAGGCGCUGUUACUGCCCCUUUGAAAGACAGUUCCGGGGUCGGGGUGGAGCAGGCAGCUGGACAGAAUGAAAGCACAAGCCAAACUUCGGGAUUCUGGGCUCCCCUGUUCGGAUCCCUGCUGGCCACCCCACUGCCCGGGAAGUGGCCCACAGUGGAAGGAAAAGUGUAAAGAUAUUUAAAAAUGGAUCAGCCAAAUGGAUCCUUCAAUGCCCGCCUCGGACGUUUAUAAGCACUCUAGUGGAUAAUGAUCCAAGAAGAAGCUUUUAAAAAAAUGAUGCCAAAGAAUGAACAUUAAUCUUUCCCUCCCCCAAGGAAAAAAGUUGACAAGUGUAAAAGUUUUAGAUCAGUGUUUAUAAAACGAUCCCUUUGUGUAUGCCACUGUUCCUAUUUUGGAAUAAAAACUGACCUUUCUUAGUUAAAUUUGCCUUUUGUAAAUAGAAAUGCAUUUGCCAUUCUUUGCAUUUUAUUAAUUUAAACUUGCAAAAACCACCCAAACUAAUACUCUUGUGUGUUCCAGUCUUAUAAAUAAAACUUAUGAUUCACAUAUUGCUCAUUGGUGGAUAUUAAUCACAUCAUUUUGAGAGGAAAUAGUAUGGCCAGUGAGCUGGGGGCCACUUCCUUAAAGUCCCCUAGCAUAACAGAAAGUAAGAUUUGAAAGGAGAUAAAAAUGAAGGUUGGGCUGGGGAUUUAGCUCAGUGGUGCUGCCACCUGCCUCACAAGUGCAAGGUCCUGAGUUCCAUCCCCAAUACCUGCCCCAAAAGAAGAUAACAUAUUUCAGUGAUCCAUGCACACCCAUAUUGAUAGGAGCACAGUUCACCAUGGCUAAAUCUUGGAAGCAGCCCGUAUGUCCAUUAACAGAUGA
rnacentral:lncRNA from 1 species